GGGGAUGGAAGCUUACCAGUCAUUUGAUUACAUGUUUUUAAAUCUUUUUUUGCCGUGAAAUCAAGAAUAGAGGUUUUACAGCUUAUUUAACACUCAUUUUCUAAAUGAUAAUUACAGUUUAGGAAAAAAAAAAACAGAAGAACGCUGAAACAGAACACAAACAUCUCAGAUAGAAAUUGGUCUAAACCUAAUGGGAGAAACCCAAGUGACAAAAAUCCAACUCAUCAUUGUGACGUAAAUCCCAAACGUGUGAUAUCUCGUUCACGUGACACCAAACCGACUAAGUGGAGACUUUUUUUUUUUUUUUUGUCAGCAAACAAAACAGAUUCAUGUAGACUCUACGAACCAUUCCGGUAGCUCUGCAUCCAUAUGGACGACAAACGACGGUUGCUUUCUUGCACUGCGUGCGAGACUGUCCGCCUUUGAGUUCUGUGUCC
rnacentral:lncRNA from 1 species